rnacentral:rRNA from 11 species
AAAUAUAGCCUAAAUACCCCAAAGGCAGCAGAUCCUGUCUGAUCUUGGAAGCUAAAUCAGAUUGGUUCUGGUUAACACUUGGAUGGGAAACCACCAAGAAAUAUCAGGUGCUGUAGUGU